GACGAACGCUGGCGGCGUGCCUAAUACAUGCAAGUAGAACGCACAGUUUAUACCGUAGCUUGCUACACCAUAAACUGUGAGUUGCGAACGGGUGAGUAACGCGUAGGUAACCUGCCUGGUAGCGGGGGAUAACUAUUGGAAAUGAUAGCUAAUACCGCAUAAUAUUAAUUAUUGCAUGAUAAUUGACUGAAAGAUGCAAUUGCAUCACUACCAGAUGGACCUGCGUUGUAUUAGCUAGUAGGUGAGGUAACGGCUCACCUAGGCGACGAUACAUAGCCGACCGGAGAGGAUGAGCGGCCACACUGAGACUGAGACACGGCCCAGACGCCUACGGGAGGCAGCAGUAGGGAAUCUGCGGCAAUGGACGAAAGUUUGACCGAGCAACGCCGCGUGAGUGAAGAAGGUUGUCGGAUCGUAAAGCACUGUUGUAAGAGAAGAACGGGUGUGAGAGUGGAAAGUUCACACUGUGACGGUAUCGUACCAGAAAGGGACGGCUAACUACGUG
rnacentral:rRNA from 1 species